rnacentral:rRNA from 1 species
GGUCUGAGAGGAUGAUCAGUCACACUGGAACUGAGACACGGUCCAGACUCCUACGGGAGGCAGCAGUGGGGAAUAUUGGACAAUGGGCGAAAGCCUGAUCCAGCCAUGCCGCGUGAGUGAUGAAGGCCUUAGGGUUGUAAAGCUCUUUCAGUGGGGAAGAUAAUGACGGUACCCACAGAAGAAGCCCCGGCUAACUUCGUGCCAGCAGCCGCGGUAAUA